AGGUAACAUUCCAUGAUGGGGGAGUGGAAUCUAGUGUGACACCCUGACCAUUCUCCUCUUGGUUUAUCUCAAAAUACACAGGGUGUUUGUCUAUAGGCUGUGGGUUUGGUUGUAUCUGGAAUGAGUGGCAAACACCCAAUUUUUUUCUUUUCUUUCUUGUGUUUCUUAAUCAAAGUUUUGGAAAAAGCACUGUGGGAUAUGCAAGAUGAUGAAUCUUUAUGGUUGCCUAUACACAAGAACCCAACAGAGCCUUCAGUAAACUGGGAACUGAAGUACAGUUACAUGGGAGUAGAAACAGAUGCUGCCUGAAUAAGGUGUCAGCUGAGGGUUGUCUCCCUGAGGCUGCCUUACUUUGUACAUACACAUGGAGGUCAGGAUCAUGAGUGUCAGAGCUGAAAGUGACCCGUGGAAGUUGAAAGCCCAGACUGUAACUGUAAUGUGCCUGAAGCCACACUCUAGUUCAAGACAGAACUCAAAUUAAGCACGAUGAACCUCACCUUCUAGGAUUUUUCCAGGGGCAGCUCAAAAAGUACUUUCCUAUGAAGAUUUGCUCAAGCAGUAUGGUGAGUUUUAUUGCUUACCAUUUUUUUCAGUGCAAAUGUGGACAGUCUCUUUGAAGUAGGAAAUAAGAAAGCAAAGUGUUUUUCUUAAAUGCUUCAAGAAAUGAAAGUGUGAGGGUGGCAAAGUAGGAUGAUUUUUGGACACAAUUUAAGGUUAAUACCUAGCAAAAGCACAUUGCAAAUGACUGAGUUUAGUUUAAUAGGCAGCCAGUCAAGGAAACACACUGACCUGCCGAGUUAAAACUGGAGGAGAUGGAUAGAAGUAAUGCAUUCCAUUGGCACACACCCACACAGAGGUGGUGUCCACUAAAAGGAGAAUGUGCUUUUUAUCAGAGUUGUGUUUCCUUGAACAGCAGCAAUGCAUUAGCAGUUAGAACCAUGGUUCAGCCAUGUCCCAGCUAAUGUAUAAUUUUCUCCAGUUUUGAUUUGUCUUCCUAUUUCUUUAUGAUAAUAAAAUAUAUAAUUUUAGAAAUACACACAUGUGUGCACAUAUAUGCACACAUCAUAUAUUUCUAAAUGGUUGUAUGAAUUCAUCACAUUUAGAUGGGGUUUCAGUGAUAACACCACUUUUCUCCCCUCAACACAUAUUAUUCAGUUGUUAGCUUCAUAUUCCAGUGAGUCAUUUUCUUCCAUUGCUUGAGAAUUUACCUUGUUUGAUUAUAUAAUUUCAAUGUUUUUCAUCACUGCAAACCAGAACAAUUUAAUAGUUUAAUUUAAAAAAAUCAUAAUUGUUUAAUUGAAAUCUAUUUGAGACAAAACAUUAUAUAAAUUUAAAGUGUACAACAUAUUGGUUUGAUGCAUUUAUAUGUUAGAAGUUGAUUGCCAUUGUAGUACGUCUAUUAAGUCACAUAAUUAUAAUUUUUGUGGUGGAAAUAAAAUUAAGUUCUGGUCUCCUAGCAAGUUUGGUGAUUAUAAUACGAUAUAAUUAUAAUUUUAUAGCUUUUAAAUGUGUGGCUUGUAUGUAGAGUAAUUCUGUGUGUAUGUAGGCACUCUAAAACACACAUCCUUGGAAAUUUCUUCUUCAAGUUUCUUAAACCUUCUUGUUUAAAACAAAUCACAAAAAUUGUUUCUUCUAUGCUACUCUACCAUUGUUUUAUAUCUUUAUCUUUAUUAAAUUAUAG